rnacentral:lncRNA from 1 species
CGAGGGACACGGAACACCCCACCUGCAGGAAUUUAUGAGUGUGGGGUUAAGUUAUUUCUAACCUCCAUAAUGGAAAGUUCCCUUCAGGAUCCCCUUCAGAAACUAUUGAUUUUCCAGUACAGUGUGUACUUAUCAGUAACGCCAAGAUUUUGUGGCAUCAUCUGGCCAUGUCAUUAGAAAACGGCUGAAACCCUAUUCUUUUUUUUUCUUCUUCUUUUAGCAAAAUUCAACAUAACGAACUACACUAGGCACUAUGGAUAACGCCAUCCUGUGCAUUAAUUGUGAAUUGCAUAAGGUCUGGAGUAUCUUCCUGUAUAUCUCUGCCAAUAAGGUGAGGAAGAAAGAAGGGAGAACAGAGAUCAACUCUAUUCUGUGGAUCUAAAGCAGAGGAUCGAACACACAGUCUUCCUUGUUAAUUUCUUGAAAGGACGUGAGGAGCUAUCAGCCAGCAACCACGACUGUCGACUAAACAUGCAGAAAGCUAUGGCUGAAGCAAGGAUCCAUCACUGAUACAAUGAGAGAAUGAUGGUACCUGGGGAUGUGCUGUUUGCGGGGGUUGCUGCAAGCUGCCUUGGAAGGAUUUCUCUCUGCACCUCUUACCUCCAGCCUUCUGAGGGUGCCUGCCUUAGUUUCAGUGGCCCACACACUGGAAGAUCUCUCAGGAGGAUCCUCAGCCCUGCUGUCAGCCUUUCAGUGUAGUACACGUGGAGACCUGUGGGAAAGAGUCUUUGGGUGAGUGCAGAUUUGCUCUCUGACUGGGUCUUCUUGGAAUUGUAUCUGCCAGGCCAGCCUGCCCAU